rnacentral:rRNA from 1 species
UAAGAAUAUUCCGCAAUGGACGGAAGUCUGACGGAGCGACGCCGCGUGGAUGAAGAAGGCCGAAAGGUUGUAAAGUUCUUUUGCUAGGGGAGAAUAAGUGUGGGAGGGAAUGCCUGCACGAUGACAAGGACUAGCGAAUAAGUCCCGGCCAACUACGUGCCAGCAGCCGCGGUAACACGUAGGGGGCGAGCGUUGUUCGGAAUUACUGGGCGUAAAGGGCAUGUAGGCGGCUUGGUAAGCCUGGCGUGAAAGUCUGCAGCUUAACUGUAGGGAUGCGUUGGGAACUGCUUAGCUUGAGUUACGGAGAUGGAGCUGGAAUUCCUGGUGUAGGGGUGAAAUCUGUAGAUAUCUGGAAGAACACCGAUGGCGAAGGCAAGCUUCUGGCCGACAACUGACGCUGAGGUGCGAAAGUGUGGGGAUCAAAC